rnacentral:rRNA from 1 species
CCUACGGGAGGCAGCAGUGGGGAAUAUUGCACAAUGGGGGGAACCCUGAUGCAGCGACGCCGCGUGAGUGAAGAAGUAUUUCGGUAUGUAAAGCCCUAUCAGCAGGGAAGAAAGAAGACGGUACCUGACUAAGAAGCCCCGGCUAACUACGGGCCAGCAGCCGCGGUAAUACGUAGGGGGCGCGCGAUAUCCGGAUUUACUGGGUGUAAAGGGAGCGUAGACGGCCGUGCAAGCCAGGAGUGAAAGCCCGGGGCCCAACCCCGGGACUGCUCUUGAAACUGUGCGGCUAGAGUGCGGGAGGGGCAGGCGGAAUUCCUGGGGUAGCGGUGAAAUGCUUAGAUAUAGCGCAGAACUCCGAUUGCGAAGGCAGCAUACCGGCGGCAAUCUGACGCUGAGGCACGAAAGCGUGGGUAUCGAACAGGAUUAGAUACCCGAGUAGUC